UGCCCGGAGGUGAGGUCGGAAGAGGCGCGUCCCUGAGGGUCGCGACCUGGAAUGGUCUAUUCUUGUCCCUGGCUCCUCUCUUCUCCCUGUUUCCUAGCUGCCAUGCGGUGAGCAGCUUUGCUCCACCAGGCCCUUUCCCUCGCCACACUUCCCCCUUGGAACCAGCCCACCACCGACUAUGCAACUGCAAGUGGAAAAAAGCCCUCUCCUGCGUGGCUGUGGCAUUUCCUUAAGGAAUGUGAGUUGUCAUAGAGACGGCAGGAGUGACGAGAUACAGGUAGAAAUAAGGGUUUCCCGAUGAAGAGUGCUCAUUGCGCUCCAUCCCAACAUGACCCGAAGAGAAGAUGUUGCUCAGGACCUUCAGCACGGAACUUGCCAAAGUAGAGUACGGAACUUCUGCCCUCCAUC